CCCCUAGAUGUUCUGGGCCGCACGCGCGCUACACUGAACAGUUCAACAAGUCUUAACCUUGGCCGAUAGGUCUGGGUAAUCUUUGAACGCUGUUCGUGAUUGGGAUAGACCUUUGCAAUUAUGGGUCUUCAACGAGGAAUUCCUAGUAAACGCAAGUCAUCAGCUUGCAUUGAUUACGUCCCUGCCCUUUGUACAUACCGCCCGUCGCACCUACCGAUUGAAUGGUCCGGUGAAAUCUCGGGACGGCGGCUUGGUCGCUUGCGUCCGACUGCUGAAACUUGAUUAAACCAUAUCAUUUAGAGGAAGGUGAAGUCGUAACA
rnacentral:rRNA from 1 species